AGUAAGGGUUGUUGUAGACUACGACGUAGAUAGGUCUAGUGUGUAAGUGUAGUGAUACAUUGAGCUAACAGAUACUAAUUGCCCGAGAGGCUUAACUAUACAACGCUCAAG
rnacentral:rRNA from 1 species